GCGAAAUGUGACACGGCAUUGAACUCUGACGAAUUUCACUCUACAGAUCUCGUGCGAAAAUCUUCAUCCUUGCUUCAUAGAAGAAGAAACAGAAUAAGUGGAUUUGAAUCUUGAAACCCUAGCUGAAUUCGAUCUCAACGAAGAUCAGCAUAGAAGCAGACUAGCUAUCUGGGUAGUGGAAAAUGCACCGUGGUCCAGUGGCAGUGGAGGAACAAUUGUUACAGAGAGCUAUUAAGGAAGAAUGCCCGUGGGAAAAUCUUCCAAAACGACUUCAACUAACUCUUUCUUCCAAAGAAGAAUGGCAUAGAAGGAUUAUAGAUUACUGCAUAAGGAAGAGACUCCAAUGGAGUAACUGUUUUGCUCGCAAAGUUUGUAGAGAAAGUGAAUAUUAUGAAGAGAUGAUGCGUUACUUGCGGAAGAACUUAGCUCUAUUUCCUUAUCAUCUUGCAGAAUACAUUUGCCGCAUAAUGAGAAUCUCGCCUUUCAAAUAUUAUUGUGAUAUAAUUUUUGAAGUAAUGAAAAAUGAGCAACCAUAUGACAGCAUCCCAAAUUUUAGUGCCGCGGAUGCUCUAAGACUCACAGGAAUUGGGAGAAAUGAAUUUAUUGAUAUAAUGAAUAAGUGCAGAUCUAAGAAAAUCAUGUGGAAGCUGAACAAGUCAAUUGCAAGAGAACUUUUACCUACACAACCUGUGGAUUUUCCAAUUGAACCCUGGUGGGGAAUCUGUCUUGUGAACUUUACCUUGGAAGAAUUUAAGAAACUCUCAGAGGAGGAAACGGCUACUAUUGACAAAAUUUGUAAAGAAGAAGCAAAUUCUUUUAUCCUAUUUGAUCCUGACAUAGUAAAGGGUCUUUAUAGACGGGGUUUGGUCUAUUUUGAUGUUCCUGUAUAUCCUGAUGACCGGUUCAAAGUUUCCAGGCUUGAAGGUUUUGUUUCCAACAGGGAGCAGUCUUAUGAAGAUCCUAUUGAAGAGUUACUUUAUGCAGUUUUUGUUGUUUCAAGUGAGAAUGCAACUGUUGCUGAAUUGGCAGCUACACUACAGGCUGAUUUAUCUCAACUGCAGGCUGCUGCAUCUUUUGUAUGCCGAUUGGGAUGGGCAACAAAAGUAAUUGAUCCAUCAGCUAUUCUUCAAGAUAGUAGCAUACCUGCUUCUCCUAGAAGUGUAGUCAGUGAUGAAGAUGGUUCGCAUGCUAGUCUGGGUUAUGAGAAUAUUCUUGUUGAUAAUGAUGCCAAUCAACAAGGGGAUAUUUCAGGGUUAGGGAAUAUUCGUUCAGCAUAUACUCGUGUUGCUUUCAUAGUUGAUGCUAACAUUACUUCCUAUCUAAUGAUGGGUUCUGUUUCACCAGGCUUGAAAUCCCAUGCUGUUACACUCUAUGAAGCGGGAAAACUGGGUCAUGCCAGCAUUGGUGAUCUUUGCAAGGAUCUAAGUACCUUGGAGGGUGCAAAAUUUGAGGGUGAACUACAGGAAUUCGCAAAUCAUGCAUUUAGCCUGCGAUGUGUAUUAGAAUGUUUACAAUCAGGUGGACUUGCUACUGAUGCAAAAGUAGAGGAAAAAUUUGACAGCAUGGAUAUGUUAACUUCAAGCAAUGAUGAAUCAGCUUCGCUAAUAUCUGGAAUAUCCUUAAAUUUUGAUAAAAAUAAGCAUGAGGAUGCUUUUGCUUCCUCUGAACCUGCUCCUAGCAGCACACUUGAUGGAACACAUUCUAUUGUGAUGGAAGAUGACAUUAGUCAUGAGCAAGAAGCCAGUGAAUCUGAUGCAAAUCUCCAGAGGAACGAGAAACUAAUGGCAGCUGAUGCGUCAGAUGUUGGAACAGAAAUAAUAAAGAGGAAAAAGAAAUACCGUGUAGAUAUUCUCCGCUGUGAAAGCUUGGCUUCUCUUGCACCAGAUACUCUAGAUCGUCUGUUUCUUCGUGACUAUGAUAUAGUUGUGUCUAUAGUGCCUCUUCCUCAUUCAUCAAUUCUUCCUGGACCCACGGGCCCUGUUCAUUUUGGUCCUCCCUCAUAUUCUUCUAUGACUCCUUGGAUGAAAUUGGUAUUAUAUUCAACUAUAGCUAGUGGGCCAUUGUCAGUUGUACUGAUGAAAGGACAAUGCUUCCGUAUGCUUCCUGCCCCAUUGGCUGGAUGUGAGAAGGCCCUCAUAUGGUCUUGGGAUGGUUCCACUGUAGGAGGGUUGGGAGGGAAGCUUGAAGGAAACUUAGUGAAGGGAGGUAUACUCUUGCAUUGUUUAAAUUCACUUCUUAAACAUUCAGCUUUAUUGGUGCAACCUCUCAGUAGAUAUGAUCUUGAUGAUACUGGAAAUGUGAUUACUAUUGAUAUCCCUCUGCCCCUAAAGAAUUCAGAUGGCUCCAUUGCUCCAAUAGGAAAAGAGUCAGGACUAUGUGAAGCGGAAAGCUCAAAGUUGAAUUCUCUGUUGACUGAUUUGGCAAACAAGAUGGAAUUGUGGACAGUUGGUUAUAUUCGCCUGUUGAAAUUAUUUCAUGGAAAAGAACCGGAUCAUUUGUCACCUGAAGAGAAGUUUGAAUGGGUUCCCCUAAGUGUCGAGUUUGGGAUGCCUCUAUUUAGUCCAAAGUUGUGCGAUAAAAUAUGCAAGAAGGUGGUUUCAUCAGAGUUCCUUCAAACUGGUUCAUUUAGUGAAUACCAUGAUGCAAUGCAAAGCUUAAGGAAAAAGUUGCGUGACAUUUGUGCUGAAUACCAAGCAACGGGUCCUGCUGCAAAGCUUCUAUACCAGAAAGAGCAAGCUAAGGAAUCUUCUCGACAACUUAUGAACUAUGCUAGUGGCAGAUGGAACCCAUUUUUGGACCCUUCCUCUCCAAUUUCAGGGGCAUCAAGCGAGCACCAGAGAUUAAAACUUGUUAAUCGGCAGCGUGGGCGAACUGAAAUUUUGAGUUUCGAUGGCAACAUUCUUAGAUCUUAUUCGUUAACAGGCUACGAUGAUAUCACAAGGCCAACUGGAGAAUCCCCCCCAGGCAAUAAUACAGCAAGAGCCGAACCAGAUGAAAAUGACAGUAAAGAAGUAGUCCUUCCUGGUGUAAAUCUUCUUUUUGAUGGAUCUGUUUUGCAUCCGUUCGAUAUAGGUGCUUGCUUGCAGGCUCGCCAACCUAUUUCCUUAAUAUCAGAAGCAGCAGCUGCAUCAGCAUCUGCAAUCAAAUAGCUCUGCUGAUAUCAUGGAUUAUUCCACCUCUGCGUUGACAAAAAGCAAUGCUAGCAAGUUACUUGGCAAUGUUAUUGCUACUGUCUGGUCUGUCUGCAUCUUCGGGAUUUAACCAUUGUGCUCAAACUUUGGGCUUAUGUCAAAGAUGUCAUAUAUAGAUAUACAGGCAGAUAAACGUGGAUUGUCCGAAGUUUCGUUCAGGAAAAAACCCUCCCUUUUUUCCUUGUAACUUUCCUUAUUUAAAUUAAUGCCAUUUUAGGCUGAUGUACCACUUUGGAUUACAAUUCUGAUUAUUAAGGCACGCUUGUGGCCAACUUCCUAAAAUAUUCGAUCUGCAAUCUUUCAUGUUUGCUUAAUGUUGGUUAUUUUUGGCCCAUGCUUUUGUAGGCCUUGGGAAUUUGUUGAAUUUAGAACUUACAACUGUCUUCGAAUAAUUUCAUCGGAUAUAGAAAAGUACUUUCUUGUUUUAA